rnacentral:rRNA from 1 species
CGCUAUCACUCCUACGGGGAGGCAGCAGUGAGGAAUAUUGGACAAUGGAGGCAACUCUGAUCCAGCCAUGCCGCGUGCAGGAAGACUGCCCUAUGGGUUGUAAACUGCUUUUAUACAGGAAGAAACACCUCUACGUGUAGAGAUUUGACGGUACUGUAAGAAUAAGGAUCGGCUAACUCCGUGCCAGCAGCCGCGGUAAUACGGAGGAUCCAAGCGUUAUCCGGAAUCAUUGGGUUUAAAGGGUCCGUAGGUGGAUAAUUAAGUCAGAGGUGAAAUCCUGCAGCUUAACUGUAGAAUUGCCUUUGAUACUGGUUGUCUUGAGUUAUUAUGAAGUGGUUAGAAUAUGUAGUGUAGCGGUGAAAUGCAUAGAUAUUACAUAGAAUACCAAUUGCGAAGGCAGAUCACUAAUAAUAUACUGACACUGAUGGACGAAAGCGUGGGGAGCGAACAGGAUUAGAUACCCUGGUAG